rnacentral:rRNA from 1 species
AGCGAACGUUAGCGGCGCGCCUAACACAUGCAAGUCGCACGAGAAAGGGAGCAAUCCCCGGUACAGUGGCGCACGGGUGAGUAACACGUAGAUGACCUUCCCUGGAGUGGUGGAUAACCUGCCGAAAGGCGGGCUAAUACAGCAUGGGACCACAUGGUUUUGACCGAGUGGUGAAAGCGGGCCUCUGUUCACAAGCUCGCGCUCUGGGAUGGGUCUGCGUCCCAUCAGCUAGUUGGUGAGGUAAUGGCUCACCAAGGCAUCGACGGGUAGCUGGUCUGAGAGGAUGACCAGCCACACUGGAACUGAGACACGGUCCAGACUCCUACGGGAGGCAGCAGUGGGGAAUCUUGCGCAAUGGGCGAAAGCCUGACGCAGCGACGCCGCGUGGGUGA